rnacentral:lncRNA from 1 species
GCUCUCCGUCUGAAAACUUGAGCCGAGAGGGUCAUAGGUAUGGCGGCCUUUAGGGUAAGUGAAAAGAAACUUAGUUUUCCACUCCCCGCUCGCUCUGAGCCCAAGCAUUACAAUAAUUAUAGAAGGGACCGUCUAUCGUAACUCAUGGAGGGAGCCCCUCAGCAAGUGGCGACCUGGAGAUGAGACUAUGAGGAUCGGAGUCUUUAAUCUUUGCAGUCUCAACAAACCUCCCUCGCCUUCUCCUUAAUCCCUGCGGGUAACUGUUUACACCGCGGGGCUUUAGUCCCGCAACCCGCUGAGUGAGUGAUGAGGAAGGCCUGGCCACUCGCCUCUCUGGAGAAGGAAAACAAAACAAAAGGAAACAAAACAAAACAAAAGUUUGGCGCUGUCUUGGUGUGCAGGGCGGGGCUCCCAGACCGGGACAUAAGACUUCCUUCAAAAAUUAGCUGUGGGCAAAACAGACAAAAGUAGAGAUUUCUCAGAAUCUGUGUUGUGAGUGGGAUUAUACAUAGUGUUAUUCCCCGUCGAAUAACCAGUUUCUUUGGAGUUUUAUGAGAAAAGGUGCUUUUGUGUAGAAAUCGGGGGUAAAGGAAACAAGUCAGCCGACUCGGGUUUCAACAUCAGUUUACAAAUACUUAACGCAUGUAUUUUUUUUUAAAGGUAUGUAAUGACUCUGUUAGGCUUGAAGGCUAUAAGAUUGUUAUUAAUUCAAUCAGAGGACAUUGACUUUUAAUAUUUCCCAUUCUUCACUGCAUUUCUCUAGUUUGGGACCUCAUACUUUCUUUCAAACUACGGACCAUUCUCUUAACUGGACUCUACCCACUCCAUUGCUCUGAUGGAAUCCAUUUUCUCCUGUGCUGCCAUAGUACUUAUAUCAAAAUGAGACUCUGCCCUGCUACUUUAAAGCCUUUAUAGGCACUCCAUUAUCAGCUCUCAGGGGUCAGGUUACCCUUCUAGAUAACAACACUUCACCUAGCCUCUGCACUCCAGCUUCCUCUCCUGUCACCCAAGAACCCUCUCCUGUGUACUUAACUUCCUACUUUAUCUCUUCAUGCCCCAUUUACCUGCUCUUUCUGCAAUUCCUAAAGUGCCCUUGCCCAUUCUUAUUUAAUUUCUAGCAUGCACGUCUGACCAACCUUUUGAUAAUGCAACCCCACCUGACCUCUACAAAGUUUAUCCUGGAGAAUCACAAUCAAGUUA